AUCAUAUUGGGUUUCAUAACUACGUAGAAUGUUUACUUAAAACAGCAGAAUCUGUCUUUCAUUUCUACAGAGACCUUAAGUAUGUAGAACAUUACUCAGAAAUAUUCAAAAUGCUGUUUGGAAUAUUUUUCAGAGGAUAUGUGUCAGCCGUUAUGAUAAACCACUUUCUGUUAUAUUAUGGACCGGGUCGAAAAAAUAAUGAUAUCAUGUGCCAACUAAACAAAUACGUCAAGACAAACAAAUUACCUUCACAUUUACAAAUACGAUUAACAACAUAUUUGAAAAAUAAAUUUCGUCAUCAAUAUUUUGAUGAAGCAUCAAUUUUAACAACAC